rnacentral:hammerhead_ribozyme from 1 species
AUCCAGCCGACGAGUUCGAAAUUGGAUAAAACGCGUGUCCUGGAU